UACGAAGGGGGCUAGCGUUGCUCGGAAUUACUGGGCGUAAAGGGCGCGUAGGCGGCACUGUUAGUCAGGCGUGAAAGUCCUGGGCUCAACCUGGGAACUGCGCUUGAUACGGCAGAGCUAGAGGAUGGAAGAGGCUCGCGGAAUUCCCAGUGUAGAGGUGAAAUUCGUAGAUAUCGGGAGGAACACCAGUGGCGAAGGCGACUACCUGGCCUGUUCUUGACGCUGAGGCGCGAAAGCUAGGGGAGCAAACGGG
rnacentral:rRNA from 1 species